rfam:Triticum aestivum genome assembly, contig: Triticum_aestivum_CS42_TGACv1_scaffold_271670_3DS
GUACUACUCCCUCCAUCCUAAAAUUCUUGGCUUAGAUUUGUCUAGAUACGGAUGUAUCUAAUACUAAAAUGUAACUUGAUACAUCCGUAUUUACAUAAAUCUAAGACAAGAAUUUUGGGUUGGAGGGAGUAGUAU